rnacentral:rRNA from 1 species
CACGUAGGGGCGAGCGUUGUCCGGAAUUACUGGGCGUAAAGGGCGCGCAGGCUGUUAUGCGAGUCUGCUGUGAAAUGUACCGGCUCAACCGGUGCCUUGCGGCGGAUACUGCAUAGCUGGAGUACUGGAGAGGGAAGUGGAAUUCCCGGUGUAGCGGUGAAAUGCGUAGAAAUCAGGAGGAACACCGGUGGCGAAGGCGACUUUCUGGACUGACCCUGACGCUGAGGUGCGAAAGCGUGGGUAGCAAACAGGAUUAGAUACCCU